rnacentral:lncRNA from 1 species
GGCGAUUUGGUGUCACGAUAUCACAGUAGCAUGGGUUCGAAUCCCGGCGAGGGAAGAACCAAAAAUUUGCGAAAGCAAAUGUACAGAUCUAACAUUGUUGGGUUGAUGUUUAGACGAGUUGUAUAUACAUUAUGUACACAGCCAUGUAUCACCAUCAUUGAUGGCGAUCCGAUGGAUACAUCUGUUGUAGGGUUGUCACCGACUCAGACGUACUUAUGAAUAUAAUUAUUUUCUGUGACUGUAUCUUACAUUAAUUUGUAGGAUCCUUUACUCUUGAUAAUUUAGCUGAUCUGUAACAAUAACA